rnacentral:rRNA from 1 species
GAUGAACGCUGGCGGCGUGCCUAACACAUGCAAGUCGAACGGAGUCCAGCCUUAGAGCCCUUCGGGUCAAAGCGGGGAAGACUGAGUGGCGGACGGGUGAGUAACACGUGGGCAACCUGGCUCAUAGAGGGGGAUAACAGAGAGAAAUUUCUGCUAAUACCGCAUAAGCACACACUGCCGCAUGGCAGAGUGUGAAAAGAGAAUCGCUAUGAGAUGGACCCGCGUCUGAUUAGCCAGUUGGCAGGGUAAGAGCCUACCAAAGCGACGAUCAGUAGCCGAUUUGAGAGGAUGAACGGCCACAUUGGGACUGAGACACGGCCCAAACUCCUACGGGAGGCAGCAGUGGGGGAUAUUGCACAAUGGGGGGAACCCUGAUGCAGCGACGCCGCGUGAGUGAAGAAGUAUUUCGGUAUGUAAAGCUCUAUCAGCAGGGAAGAUAAUGGCAGUACCUGAAGAAGAAGCCCCGGCUAACUACGUG